rnacentral:rRNA from 1 species
UACGUAGGGUGCGAGCGUUGUCCGGAAUUAUUGGGCGUAAAGGGCUCGUAGGCGGUCUGUCACGUCGAAAGUGAAAACUCAGGGCUUAACCCUGAGCCUGCUUCCGAUACGGGCAGACUAGAGGUAUGCAGGGGAGAAUGGAAUUCCUGGUGUAGCGGUGAAAUGCGCAGAUAUCAGGAGGGACACCAGUGGCGAAGGCGGUUCUCUGGGCAUUACCUGACGCUGAGGAGCGAAAGUGUGGGGAGCGAACAGG